rnacentral:rRNA from 1 species
UUGGAGGGCAAGUCUGGUGCCAGCAGCCGCGGUAAUUCCAGCUCCAAUAGCGUAUAUUAAAGUUGUUGCAGUUAAAAAGCUCGUAGUUGAAUUUCGGGAUCAAUAUAUCGGUCAUGCUUAGGUAUGUACUGGUAUUAUUGAUUUCUCCCUUCUGAAGAACCAUGAUGUCAUUUAUUUGAUGUCGUGGGGAAUCAGGACUGUUACUUUGAAAAAAUUAGAGUGUUUAAAGCAGGCUUUCGCUUGAAUACAUUAGCAUGGAAUAAUGAAAUAGGACGUUUGAUUCUAUUUUGUUGGUUUCUAGGAUCGACGUAAUGAUUAAUAGGGAUAGUUGGGGGCAUUAGUAUUCAAUUGUCAGAGGUGAAAUUCUUGGAUUUAUUGAAGACUAACUACUGCGAAAGCAUUUGCCAAGGAUGUUUUCAUUAAUCAAGAACGAAAGUUAGGGGAUCGAAGACGAUCAGAUACCGUCGUAGUCUUAACCAUAAACUAUGCCGACUAGGGAUCGGAUGAUGUUAAUUUUUUAAUGACUCAUUCGGCGCCUUACGGGAAAC